UCGCCCCCCGCCGAGCCCAGCUCCUCCGGUGCGUGUAUUUGGGGGGAAUCGGGUUUCAGACCGGGUUUGGAAUCGGGUCUCAGACCGCGUCUCAGACCGGGUUUGCAAUCGGGUCUCAGACCGGGUCUCAGACCGGGUUUGGAAUCGGGAGCUAACGGGUCCCUUUUCUCCCUUGCCCACUCCCCCCAGAUCCCCCGGGCCCCUCAGGUGCCGAAGGCUUCACCCCCCGCCCUGAGGAGGAGGAAGAGGAGGAGGAGGAGGAGGAGGCCGAAGGCUCACCCACGCCCGGCGAACCCGACACGGCCGAGCUGCGUCGCCGCCGCCUGCGGAAACUGGGGGCGCCGGCCCCGGCCCCCUCCCUCUGACGGCCCCGGCCUCCCUUUUGGAGACCCGCCCCUCCCCCGGAGGCCGCUGACACCCUCGGCCUCCAUUUUGGGGACGCUCAGAGGCCGCCGCACCCCCCGGCCUCCGUUUUGGGGGGACCCUUGGAGGGCCGUUGCCCCCCUUCUCCUCUGUUUUGGGGGGGGGGGGGCCUGGAAGCCGCCGCUCCCCUCGUCCCCUCUGUUUUGGGGACCCUUGGAGGCUGCCCCUCCCCCUCGUCCCCUCCGUUUUGGGGACCCUUGGAGGCCGCUGUCCCCCUCGGCCUCCCUUUCGGAGACUCCCCUCGCCCUCCAUUUUGGAGCCCCCCACGAGCCGCCCGCGCCUCCUUUCCCCCCACUUUUCACCCCAAAAAAAAAGCAAUCUGGAGGCUCACGGCCUCCCCUGUGGGGGGGGAGUUCCCCUCAGCAGCGCCCCCUGACCCGUUUUUGCCCAUUUUCACCCCAUUUUUCUCUACCUCCGGAUUUGGGACGGGGUUCGGUUAUGAAAACACCGUCCCCCUUUGAAAUUGCUCAAAACCUCGUGGUUUUAACCCAGUUUUCUUCUCGGGUCCCCCCCCCGGCGGCUCUCAACCCCCCAACCCGCUUCAGUUUUGGGGUCAAACCCGAAAGCUUUGAGCCAUUUGGGAUUUUGGGGUGCUUUCCGCCCCCCUCCUUGCAGUAUUAACCCUUUAUCCUCGGGACAGCUCCGGGGGGGGGGUUGGGGGCGUUUCACCCCCUCCUGGCCCCAAAAUGUGGGGUUUUCACCCCGUUUUCCCCCCGGGAAGGCGACCCCGGCCGCAAAUCCCGUUGGCCCUUGCCCUUCAGUGCCUCUUCGAACCGAGCGGGCUUCCAGGAGCCCCAAAAUCUCAGGGAAAAACGGGGGCCGGGGGGGGAGCCCGGGGUGGAAUUUUGGGCUCGUUUAGGCAAAAUCGGGCAAUAACGAGGCGGGAGUUGAUCUUUUAAUCGGUUUUUUUUGUUUGUUUAAUUUGGAGUGGAAACGGCGGAGCUGCGGCCGGUCGAGGAUUUUUGGGGUGGGUUCCUCGGGGUUUUCCUUCGUUUCGGGGCGGGUUUGAAAAGGGGAGUAAAGGAGGGGGGUUGCAAAGGGGGGCAUCUGGCCCCAAAAACACCCCCUUUGACCCCAAAAUCCUUCCUUUUGACCCUAAGACCCCUCACUUUAACCCCAAAUCCCUCCUUUGGACACCAAAUCCCUUCCUUUUGGCCCCAAAUCCCUUCUUUUUGACCCUAAAACAACUCCUUGUGACCCUAAAAUCCCUCCUUUUCACCCCAGACCUUUUUUUUUUGACCCCGAAACCCAUCCCUUAUCCCCAGAAUCCCUCCUUUUGACCUUAAAUCAGCCCAUUUUGCCCCCAAGAUCCCUCCUUGUCAUCCCAGAACCGCCCCCUUCGGUCCCAAAUCCGUUUUUUUGACCCCAAACCCCUCCCUUUUGACCCCCGAAACGCCCCGUUUUGACCCUAAAACCCCUCCCUUUGACCCUAAGCUCCUACUUUUCACCCUAAACCCCUCCUUUUCACCACCAAGCCCUCCCUUUGACCCCAAAACCGCCCCCUUUGACCCUAAAACCCCUCCUUUUCGCCCCCAAAACGCCCCCUUUUAACCCCA
rnacentral:lncRNA from 1 species